rnacentral:lncRNA from 1 species
CGUUGGCUCCAGACAAAUAAACAUGGAGUCCAUCUUCCACGAGAAACAGCCUUCUGGAAAUAUGGAUGACAGUGGUUUUUUCUCUAUUCAGAAAUGAAAGAUCAUUUAUAUGCAAUUAUAAGGAACACUGGUUUACAGUUAGAAAAUUAGGAAAACAGUGGUUUAACUUGAAUUCUCUCUUGACGGGUCCAGAAUUAAUAUCAGAUACAUAUCUUGCACUUUUCUUGGCUCAAUUACAACAGGAAGGUUAUUCUAUAUUUGUCGUUAAGGGUGAUCUGCCAGAUUGCGAAGCUGACCAACUCCUGCAGAUGAUUAGGGUCCAACAGAUGCAUCGACCAAAACUUAUUGGAGAAGAAUUAGCACAACUAAAAGAGCAAAGGUAGUUCCAGAAACAUAUCUCAAGAUAUGACACAGACAUCAGGUACAAAUCUUACUUCAGAAGAGCUUCGGAAGAGACGAGAAGCCUACUUUGAAAAACAGCAGCAAAAGCAGCAACAGCAGCAGCAGCAGCAGCAGCAGGGGGACCUAUCAGGACAGAGUUCACAUCCAUGUGAAAGGCCAGCCACCAGUUCAGGAGCACUUGGGAGUGAUC